CAUGGAGCUGAAAUCAGUCGAAGAUACCAGCUGGCUGCAACUGUUUAUUAAAAACACAGCACUGUGCAAACACGAAAGUGGACGUAUACGGUGUGACGCCUGCCCGGUGCCGGAAGGUUAAUUGAUGGGGUUAUCCGUAAGGAGAAGCUCUUGAUCGAAGCCCCGGUAAACGGCGGCCGUAACUAUAACGGUCCUAAGGUAGCGAAAUUCCUUGUCGGGUAAGUUCCGACCUGCACGAAUGGCGUAAUGAUGGCCAGGCUGUCUCCACCCGAGACUCAGUGAAAUUGAACUCGCUGUGAAGAUGCAGUGUACCCGCGGCAAGACGGAAAGACCCCGUGAACCUUUACUAUAGCUUGACACUGAACACUGGUCCUUGAUGUGUAGGAUAGGUGGGAGGCUUUGAAGUGUGGACGCCAGUCUGCAUGGAGCCAUCCUUGAAAUACCACCCUUUAAUGGCUGGUGUUCUAACGUAGACCCGUUACCCGGGUUGCGGACAGUGUCUGGUGGGUAGUUUGACUGGGGCGGUCUCCUCCUAAAGAGUAACGGAGGAGCACGAAGGUUAGCUAAUCCUGGUCGGACAUCAGGAGGUUAGUGCAAAGGCAUAAGCUAGCUUGACUGCGAGAGUGACGGCUCGAGCAGGUGCGAAAGCAGGUCUUAGUGAUCCGGUGGUUCUGAAUGGAAGGGCCAUCGCUCAACGGAUAAAAGGUACUCCGGGGAUAACAGGCUGAUACCGCCCAAGAGUUCAUAUCGACGGCGGUGUUUGGCACCUCGAUGUCGGCUCAUCACAUCCUGGGGCUGAAGUAGGUCCCAAGGGUAUGGCUGUUCGCCAUUUAAAGUGGUACGCGAGCUGGGUUUAGAACGUCGUGAGACAGUUCGGUCCCUAUCUGCCGUGGGCGCUGGAGAAUUGAGGGGGGCUGCUCCUAGUACGAGAGGACCGGAGUGGACGCAUCACUGGUGUUCGGGUUGUCAUGCCAAUGGCAUUGCCCGGUAGCUAAAUGCGGAAGAGAUAAGUGCUGAAAGCAUCUAAGCACGAAACUUGCCCCGAGAUGAGUUCUCCCUGACUCCUUGAGAGUCCUGAAGGAACGUU
rnacentral:rRNA from 1 species